GCGGGUGUGCGAGGCGCGGGCUGUUGUGCUCCGGCGCUCCUCUUUCCCCUCCUCGGCGGGCGGAGGAGGCCGCAGCGGUGCUGGGAGCGCUCCACCUUCUUCUCUCCGCCAACCUGCGCCGGCCCUCUCGCGCUGCGCGGUCUCGCAGACCAGGACUGUCCCGGUCCCGAUAUGGCUCGUGGACAGCAGAAGAUUCAGUCUCAGCAGAAAAAUGCCAAGAAGCAAGCUGGACAAAAGAAGAAACAAGGACAUGACCAAAAGGCUGCUGCCAAAGCUGCCUUAAUAUAUACCUGCACUGUCUGCAGGACACAAAUGCCAGACCCUAAGACCUUCAAGCAGCACUUUGAGAGCAAACAUCCUAAGACUCCACUUCCUCCAGAAUUGGCUGACGUUCAGGCAUAAAGUUGUUUACAGGCGAAUUUGUGACACCUCUGACUCUUCUGCUGUCUCAGACCCUAGGUAACAAACCUGCAGCUGCUUUUCUAACAAACUGUUGAUCAGCAAAAAUACAGGGGCUACAAAAACACUCAUUUUUAUGCUGUUCCCUUUUGAGCUUCAUGCAAAGACAAUUCUGUGUAAAUGUACAGUUGACUCUGAUUUGGAAAUCUGGAAAUCAGUCCAUCCUUGUUAUAAAAAUUUUUUUACAAUUGUAAUUAUAUUGAUGUUCAUAUUGUGUAAAAUAACUCAUUUAAUAAAGUAGUACUUUGAUUUUACAACAUCACAGGACAAAUGGUUCUAGAAAUUCUGUUCUAAGUUUCCACAUUAUUUGCCUUAUACAAAUCUUAUGAAUUCACUAGAUAGAAUUGCAAAUGCAGUUCUUAAUCUCUUUCUCGGCUCAAUGGCAGGUUCGUUAAACUAGACUCAUUCAUUAAAAUUGUGCACACAGUUUUAUUGGCAGCUGAUUUAGGUGAAGAAUGACUGAUCUGCUGCCAUCAUGCAUUGCAAUUAUAUGUCAUUGCCCUCCUCUGAUUAUUUCCUGUGUUUGAAGUUGGAAUGUUUAAACAUGAUGUAUGACCUAUUAGUUGCCAGCCAGUAUGCCCUGUAAAUAUCUAAUAAAUUCCUAAAACCA